rnacentral:rRNA from 1 species
UUGGCCUACGGGGGGCAGCAGUGGGGAAUAUUGCACAAUGGGGGGAACCCUGAUGCAGCGACGCCGCGUGGGUGAAGGAGUACUUCGGUACGUAAAGCCCUAUCAGCAGGAAAGAAAAUGACGGUACCUGACUAAGAAGCCCCGGCUAACUACGUGCCAGCAGCCGCGGUAAUACGUAGGGGGCAAGCGUUAUCCGGAUUUACUGGGUGUAAAGGGUGCGUAGGUGGCAGGGCAAGUCAGAUGUGAAAGCCCGGGGCCCAACCCCGGUACUGCAUUUGAAACUGUCCGGCUGGAGUGCAGGAGAG